rnacentral:rRNA from 1 species
AUUGAACGCUGGCGGCAGGCCUAACACAUGCAAGUCGAGCGGUAGCACAGAGAGCUUGCUCUCGGGUGACGAGCGGCGGACGGGUGAGUAAUGUCUGGGAAACUGCCUGAUGGAGGGGGAUAACUACUGGAAACGGUAGCUAAUACCGCAUAACGUCGCAAGACCAAAGUGGGGGACCUUCGGGCCUCAUGCCAUCAGAUGUGCCCAGAUGGGAUUAGCUAGUAGGUGGGGUAAUGGCUCACCUAGGCGACGAUCCCUAGCUGGUCUGAGAGGAUGACCAGCCACACUGGAACUGAGACACGGUCCAGACUCCUACGGGAGGCAGCAGUGGGGAAUAUUGCACAAUGGGCGCAAGCCUGAUGCAGCCAUGCCGCGUGUGUGAAGAAGGCCUUCGGGUUGUAAAGCACUUUCAGCGGGGAGGAAGGCGAUAAGGUUAAUAACCUCAUCGAUUGACGUUACCCGCAGAAGAAGCACCGGCUAACUCCGUGCCAGCAGCCGCGGUAAUACGGAGGGUGCAAGCGUUAAUCGGAAUUACUGGGCGUAAAGCGCACGCAGGCGGUCUGUCAAGUCGGAUGUGAAAUCCCCGGGCUCAACCUGGGAACUGCAUUCGAAACUGGCAGGCUAGAGUCUUGUAGAGGGGGAUAGAAUUCCAGGUGUAGCGAUGAAAUGCGUAGAGAUCUGGAGGAAUACCGGUGGCGAAGGCGGCCCCCUGGACAAAGACUGACGCUCAGGUGCGAAAGCGUGGGGAGCAAACAGGAUUAGAUACCCUGGUAGUCCACGCCGUAAACGAUGUCGAUUUGGAGGUUGUGCCCUUGAGGCGUGGCUUCCGGAGCUAACGCGUUAAAUCGACCGCCUGGGGAGUACGGCCGCAAGGUUAAACUCAAAUGAAUUGACGGGGGCCCGCACAAGCGGUGGAGCAUGUGGUUUAAUUCGAUGCAACGCGAAGAACCUUACCUGGUCUUGACAUCCACAGAACUUUCCAGAGAUGGAUUGGUGCCUUCGGGAACUGUGAGACAGGUGCUGCAUGGCUGUCGUCAGCUCGUGUUGUGAAAUGUUGGGUUAAGUCCCGCAACGAGCGCAACCCUUAUCCUUUGUUGCCAGCGGUCCGGCCGGGAACUCAAAGGAGACUGCCAGUGAUAAACUGGAGGAAGGUGGGGAUGACGUCAAGUCAUCAUGGCCCUUACGACCAGGGCUACACACGUGCUACAAUGGCAUAUACAAAGAGAAGCGACCUCGCGAGAGCAAGCGGACCUCAUAAAGUAUGUCGUAGUCCGGAUUGGAGUCUGCAACUCGACUCCAUGAAGUCGGAAUCGCUAGUAAUCGUAGAUCAGAAUGCUGCGGUGAAUACGUUCCCGGGCCU